GAUGAAGAACGUAGCGAAAUGCGAUAAGUAAUGUGAAUUGCAGAAUUCAGUGAAUCAUCGAAUCUUUGAACGCACAUUGCGCCCUCUGGUAUUCCGGAGGGCAUGCCUGUUCGAGCGUCAUUUCGACCCUCAAGCAUUGCUUGGUGUUGGGGCACCGCCUGUAAAAGGGCGGGCCCUGAAAUCUAGUGGCGAGCUCGCCAGGACCCCGAGCGUAGUAAUUAUAUUUCGUUCUGGAAGGCCCUGGCGGUGCCCUGCCGUUAAACCCCCAACUUCUGAAAAUUUGACCUCGGAUCAGGUAGGAAUACCCGCUGAACUUAAGCAUAUCAAAAGCGGAGGA
rnacentral:misc_RNA from 1 species